ensembl:lncRNA
CUACAACGUCAGCACAUAUCGUCAGAGGUCUUGAUGACGAUGAUCUUCCCAGCGUGCUUUGCGCCCCCCGUACUUUCUUCUCACGUGGGCAGAUUCAAGCGACAGCAGAACCAAACUACAAUGUACAAUGGAGAGCGGCUAUCAUGGAGGUAGACCCAGAUUGAGUGAUGAAGACGUCUGCAAAAUGGUUGCGUUGCAUGACCCUGUACGACACGGUUUCUCCAUGGAGGAUCCUUUGGAAGAUAACUUGUUCAACUUAGAAAUAACUGAGAGGAUUGGUAUGGGGUGACGCCACAGCUUCUAUCUGGAUUUGUGCAACUGUGAUGCUAUCCCACGACAGCCCAGCCUCUGAAAGGCAUGGAAAUCAAAGCAAGGUGGCUCAAACCCAGUAAAAAUGGGUCUUAACAACAACCAGUCUUGGACACCCAAAUUAAAUCUAGAUCAUCUGCUGGAAAAGGAGCCCAGGAGCGAGAGCAAGACAUAAACUGGAGUUGGAUCAGUGGCAGUGGACACACCAUGGGCAAAUCUUCGUCAACGCCUCCAUUUUGUGUACAUGGGGAGGCUAUGAGGAACAUGGGUGGAGAGGAUACCUGUAUUGAGGAGAGGAUGAAAUGGAGGUUACAGCCCGAGGACCAAACAGAUACCAUUGGGGAAAAAGUCUCCUGGACUUCAAGGAUGGAGGCCCAAGAGGACCACAGCAUCGUAGGCUUGGUCUAAUCUUUAAGACCAAACCAGCAGAUGUCUCAAACUGUUGAUUUUGUCCUUCAUUAGGUUUGCCCGUUCAGUUCUGAAGUGUGGGUGGUUUAUCAAAGGUGUGAAUGACUGUCUGUUAUGGUUUGUGGUCAUAUUGUAUGAUGUGUGUUGCAGGAUUUUCUCUUAUUGGACAUGAAUAUAUUUGAAGUUAUUUGUGUCCUUGUUGGUGGUGUGUGUAUGAAUGAGGAUCUGUGUACUGCAAUUUAAAAAAAAUAAAAAAGUUUUUCUGACUAUUCCCGAUAUAUUUUGGAUGUUUCGUUUCAUGAAUUCAGUGUGCCACAUUUAAAUGAACUGAGGGUCAUCCUACCCAAUGAUUGUAAAACAUUUAUUUUCAGUAAUUGGUUCUUCCUUCUAAUCAGUCUAAUUACCUGCUAAAUGAGUUUCUGGUUUUCAAUCUGACCAUAAUGAUGAAAUGGUCACAACUUAAAUGCUGUGAAAUAGUGAUGACUGAACUGAGACCGCAUAAACUAUUUGUAGCUAACAUAUACCAAUAUUGCUUAGACAUGAAUAAUGGAACCCACACAGGAACACUACAUGUUACAUAUAACACUUCAUAUGUUAGUGAAGCAAAACAUUUGCCUGGCAUUUAAGUGUGUCAUGUAACGUCAGAGG